AAAAAAAAAAAAAAGAAAAAAAUCUAGUCAGCGUUCCAUCCAGAAAGAGGACAAACAAAAAGAAGAAAGGGUAAUUAACAGAUACAAAAUCAGAUAUGUUUCUGUUAAAUUUGCCAGAUUAAAGUAAUGUAUGCCACUGACACAUAUCAAUAUGGAGCAUCAAUCUGAAGCAAAAAGGAAAUUUCCUCCCUCCUAUAUCAGAUGAUAAACGGUCUAACUAGAAUGUCAAAACACAGUAUAAAUGGGACAUAUUUUCAGAUUUCAAUUUUUAACUUCUCAGAUUCAAUAAUGGGUAAAAGAAUUGAGCAACCUUUGUGAGGAAAAGCCUCUCUGCACGCUGCUGAAGAGUACCGCCACUCUUUAGUCCUAAUGCAACCAAUGCCUCCUUUAAUUUGUCAGGGCCCACUUCCAUAAGUUCCUCAACUGUGCUGUAAUAAUCAAGAUCGAUAACAGUAUGCUGAGGUGGAAGUUGCCCACUUUCUUUAACAUCCUUCUCCCAUCCUUGUACAUUGUCAUUUUCCCAUUGCUCUUCAAAUUCGGCUGUAACCUUAGAGAAUAUCCUAUCAAGAUCUUGCAGGGGCUCUGUCCGUUGAAAAAAGUAAAUUAAAUGCUCGAGUAGAUUCUCCAUAUAUUCCCUAUAUUGCCUUGUUAACUUCAGUUUUCGAGGGAUACUAUGUGGUUGUGAAAAAACAUCAAGGUAAGCAGAGUAUUCAAUAGGCUCCCCGAAUUUUGAAUUAAUAAACUGGUUGUACAACUCAUGCAUGUCCAAAUAUUUCCCAAAUGCUUCCUCCCCAGUGAACUCAAUUACGGGUUCCUCUUUAAGCAGUGCCUCAUGCUCCUCGUUGGCAUCAACAACGCGUGCUGCUGGAUGCCUUCUAUGGUACUCACGAAUCUCUUUCAGCCUAUCAUAAAACGCACUAAACACGUUUGUCCCUGUUGCUGUUUGGCCCCCAAGAGCUGCAAUCUCGUCCUUCCUUGCACUAUCCUUAUCUUCAUAAAUCUCCACGAGUUUGUGCGUAGUAGACAUGAUGGUUUCGAUCAUGUUACGAACUCGGUGGCUCUGAAAGAGCCGGUCCUUGUUCGUCGCGGGCUCAUUCUGGAGAUCCUUCACUAUGAUCCGCUCGAGCCGUUCCACUUCCUCAUGAGCUGCGCGAGUCACCUCCAAAAGCGUCGACGACAUCUUGGUUGCCGCCGCCUCCGCCUUUCUCUUUUUCAGCAAUCGCUUCUAAUGGCCGUUCUACGGUAAAUUCAGGUAGGGUAGGGUUUCUCUGUCACAAGCUUGUAAACGUAGCUUUGCGAGAAGCGGUCUCAAAUAUCAAUUUUGAGGGACAAUGUAUAGGGAUAACACGACAUCGUUUCAAAUAAACCGGUAAAAAAAAUGAAAAGAAAAAAUAAAUAAAUGAUGAAAACCCAAUUAAAAAAUUAUUUAAAAAAGGGAGAAUAUUAAUUAUUUUAAUUAGUAUAAUAUAAUUACCUGCAAUGAGAACAAGAAUGCUGGUAUCAAACCUAAAAUUCCUGAUAGAAGCAAUGGCUUUCAAGAAGAUGGGAGGGAUUCCAAUGGCCACAGAUCCCAGAGCAAGCCAAUGAAGAGGAUGAUAAACAUACUUCAACAAAGAUAGCAAAAGCAAAACACCACUACCCACAGCAAAUGGACUUGGCCAUUUCUUCUGGUAACUGGUGUUUCCAUUCACUCUAAUAUUUGCUUCUAGUCGUGCUUGAUUCAGGGCCUUUACAAUUUGAAGCUGAGAGAUGAGAAGAUUAUCAUGGACAACUACAACUGUUCUUGUUGGGACGAUAAUUGAGAAUUCUUUAACACCAUCAAGAGACUUGAGGAUAUUCUCAAUCAAAGGAACUUCAGAGGAGCAGCAAAGUCCUAACACAUCAAAGUAGCUUUUCUGAAACUUUUUCUUGCUGCUGAUGAUGUUUGCUGCCGUUCUUUUGUCCUGGGCAGCCAUUUUCUUUUCCUCUUAAUCUCUGCAACCAAAGCAAAGAAAUUUGAUCAUCAAUAUCUCAGCAAACAGCUCAUUCUGAGAAAGAUAAGAGAGAGGAGCACACAUGGAAAACAUGCCAAAAAGGAAGGAAAGAAAGAAAGGAAGUAAAAGUAAAAGAAAAUCAAGAAAGAGUUAAAUGAGGGAAAGCUAGCAAGAACAUGCAAAAUACAUUGCACAUAUAUAGAAUAGAGCCCAAAAGAGAGUUGGAGAAGCAAACUACAUUCUAACAAUAGGGAGAGCUUAAUUUCCAACUUCUUUCUGAAGUUUUGCUUUUGAAGUAGAUUGUGGAGGAAUGGUGGCUAAAUAGGAAGCUAUAUACAAGUAGGGGGUAGGCUGGAAUGACAUGCAGCCCAAAAGAAUCUAAAAAAUUCAAGAAAUCAAGAUAUAAUUUUUUUUUUUUUUAAAUAAAGAAAAGGAGGGGAAGAAAAAUAACUAUAAAAGAAAAUAUCAAGUAGCAUAAUAACAAGUCAAGACUCAAACCAAUAUAGAACAAUUAGCAAUUCAAGGCUAUCCAAUAUUCUAAGUUAAGGCCAAUGUCAGAUUUAAACAAUAUCUCCAUAUUUCUUUGCCUUCUGGUUUUGUUUUUCCAUGAAGACCUUAAUAUGUAUCAUUAGAUGUUGGACCUGGAUUCCCGAACUCUAGUAGGAAAUACACAUAGUCGUGUGUGUGCACGUACAUUUAUAGAAAGAAAUAAAACCUUUUAUACCUGGUCCUAACUCAUUAAAUACAAAUAACAUAAUAAAUCUAAAGACCUAACUUCAAGAGUAUGGAAGCUAUUCUAAUAAAAAAAAAGUCUUUAACAACCAAACUGCCAAAGCAAUUUUUCGGGGAAAAUGUUAGCUUCCCUUGAAAAGCAGUCAACUAAUUCAUUAAUUCUCCAAAUUUUAGGAAUGUUUAAAUAAAAUGAAUUUUCAUUAUGAUACACAUAAUUCCAAUAUUUUCUCCAAUUAUGUGCAGUAGUUGUUUCUUAUACUAUGAAAAGCAUCAACUGACAAAACACGCAAGAAAUUAAGAUCAAAUAAUCUUUUGGGAAUCCUCUU
rnacentral:misc_RNA from 1 species